rnacentral:rRNA from 1 species
GAUGAACGCUGGCGGCGUGCUUAACACAUGCAAGUCGAGCGAGUGAGUUCUUCGGAACGAUCUAGCGGCGGACGGGUGAGUAACACGUGGGCAACCUGCCUCAUAGAGGGGAAUAGCCUCCCGAAAGGGAGAUUAAUACCGCAUAAAAUUAUCGAGUGGCAUCACAUGAUAAUCAAAGGAGUAAUCCGCUAUGAGAUGGGCCCGCGGCGCAUUAGCUAGUUGGUGAGGUAACGGCUCACCAAGGCGACGCUGCGUAGCCGACCUGAGAGGGUGAUCAGCCACAUUGGGACUGAGACACGGCCCAGACUCCUACGGGAGGCAGCAGUGGAGAAUAUUGCACAAUGGGGGAAACCCUGAUGCAGCAACGCCGCGUGAGUGAUGAAGGUCUUCGGAUUGUAAAGCUCUGUCUUUGGGGACGAUAAUGACGGUACCCAAGGAGGAAGCCACGGCUAACUACGUGCCAGCCGCCGCAGUAA